rnacentral:rRNA from 1 species
GAUGAACGCUGGCGGCGUGCCUAAUACAUGCAAGUCGAGCGAACGGACGAGAAGCUUGCUUUUCUGAUGUCAGCGGCGGACGGGUGAGUAACACGUGGAUAACCUACCUAUAAGACUGGGAUAACUUCGGGAAACCGGAGCUAAUACCGGAUAAUAUUUUGAACCGCAUGGUUCAAAAGUGAAAGACGGUCUUGCUGUCACUUAUAGAUGGAUCCGCGCUGCAUUAGCUAGUUGGUAAGGUAACGGCUUACCAAGGCAACGAUGCAUAGCCGACCUGAGAGGGUGAUCGGCCACACUGGAACUGAGACACGGUCCAGACUCCUACGGGAGGCAGCAGUAGGGAAUCUUCCGCAAUGGGCGAAAGCCUGACGGAGCAACGCCGCGUGAGUGAUGAAGGUCUUCGGAUCGUAAAACUCUGUUAUUAGGGAAGAACAUAUGUGUAAGUAACUGUGCACAUCUUGACGGUACCUAAUCAGAAAGCCACGGCUAACUACGUG